rnacentral:snoRNA from 1 species
CCAACGUGGAUACACCCGGGAGGUCACUCUCCCCGGGCUCUGUCCAAGUGGCGUAGGGGAGCAUAGGGCUCUGCCCCAUGAUGUACAGUCCCUUUCCACAACGUUGGAGAUGAAGCUGGGCCUUGAGUCUGCGCCUGCAUAUUCCUACAGCUUCCCAGAGUCCUGUGGACAAUGACUGGGGAGACAAACCAUGCAGGAAACAGCC